GACGAACGCUGGCGGCGUGCUUAACACAUGCAAGUCGAACGGAAAGGCCCUGCUUGCCGGGUACUCGAGUGGCGAACGGGUGAGUAACACGUGGGUGAUCUGCCCUGCACUUCGGGAUAAGCCUGGGAAACUGGGUCUAAUACCGGAUAGGAGCCAUUUUUAGUGUGAUGGUUGGAAAGUUUUUUCGGUGUAGGAUGAGCUCGCGGCCUAUCAGCUUGUUGGUGGGGUAAUGGCCUACCAAGGCGGCGACGGGUAGCCGGCCUGAGAGGGUGGACGGCCACAGUGGGACUGAGAGACGGCCCAGACACCUACGGGAGGCAGCAGGAGGGAAUAUUGCACAAUGGGCGCAAGCCUGAUGCAGCGACGCCGCGUGGGGGAUGACGGCCUUCGGGUUGUAAACUCCUUUCGCUAGGGACGAAGCUUUUUGUGACGGUACCUAGAGAAGAAGCACCGGCUAACUACGUG
rnacentral:rRNA from 1 species